CGGAAGGUCAUGAGGGCCUGACCCUCGUACGCGGAAGGCCAUGAGGGCGGGACCCUGGUACGCGGAAGGCCAUGAGGGCGGGAACCCUCGUACGCGGAAGUUCAUGAGGGCGGGACCCUCGUACGCGGAAGGUCAUGAGGGCGGGACCCUCGUACGCGGAAGUUCAUGCGGGCGGGACCCUCGUACGUGGAAGGUCAUGAGGGCGGGACCCUCGUACGUGGAAGGUCAUGAGGGCGGAACCCUGGUACAUGAAAUUCGUUCUCUUAUUUAAGAGACAAAGAACGCCCUUGUUUUUUCCACCACGUGAUGGCGCAGACAGAAGACAACCAGCAUCUAUGAACCAGGAAGCCCCCACCAGGCACUGAAUCUGCCCCUGCGUGGAUCUUAGACUUGCAGACUCCAGAACUGUCCAAAUUUUGGUCUGGAGCCAGAGACAAUAUAGGAUGAAGUUUGAUUUGUUCCAAAACCCACAGAAAUCUCUAAAAUGGAAGAAUUUUCUUAGAACCAAAAGGCAUGGAAUUGAUGACAUGAAACUGCCUGAGCUUCUCAGCUGACCUGUGAUGGAGUGUUGUGCCCAAGUGGAAAGUUCUUCUUUCUUUCAGAGACAUAUCAUUCACCAUAAAAUACAACCAGAGACUUCAAAAUUACUCCAGGCUAGAAGGACACUCCAAUUAGGGGAAAAGUAACCUAUGGGCAAACCAUCUUCCGUAAGAGUUCAAGGACAAAAAACUACUGAUGUUGUAAUAACAUUGAAACUUAAUGUUUUGGGCAAUCCUUAAGUGAUUUAUUUGGAGUGUCCCAGUCAUUUUAGACCUCUUCACCUUACAAUGUAUUGUGUGAGAUUAUAUUUCCAUGCACCUAAUUUUAAAAUAAAUUUAUUUAGGUAGAUGUAGAGACAUAUUACUGUGAUAAAGCAGUUCAUACCAAAUAAAAUUUAGCUAAUAAUCCUGGCUGUGUUUUCAAUCUUAGAUUAACUUACAUUACAAAAUCUCUUUCCUAUAGCAAUGUUUUCAGUAUUCAUGUUGUUGAUGAUGAUAUGUUUAGUAUAAAUUACAUCUUCCACUACAUUAUUUUAUGGAAGUAUAAAAAGUAAACCAGGCCGGGCGCGGUGGCUCACGCCUGUAAUCC
rnacentral:lncRNA from 10 species